rnacentral:lncRNA from 1 species
CAGAAUUAGCACAUGAAACUCUGUCUUGCUGAACAUGUGCUUGUAAAGGCCAUAGAACAAGGAGAACAUGUCUCCCCAAGUCGAGUAAUUGUAUCGAUUCUUCCCUUCUCCGGUUUAGCAGAAACAAUGCCUCAGUUACCCUAAAUUGAUUCCAUCACAACACCAUAGAGAUCAACGAUCCCGAACAACAAAGUACUAAUCAAAUGGCAUUCAUUCAACCAGAAUAUCCUGAACAAGAUGAUACACAAUCAGCAUCAUAAGGCCUAAAUGAACAGAUCAAGCGAUUCUAACAUCUCAAACACACGAUGAAACAUCUCUGAGCAGCAGAAUCUAAUCAUCCAACUCCGCAAUCACCAUUUACAGCGGCAACUAAUGAUCAAAUGGCAAUCGUUCAAUUCAACCACAAUGUCUAACAAUCUAAUAUAACAAGUUAUUUCUCAAGUCAACUAUAUCCCUGGACAAAACCUCCAGAUCGAGCAAACUGUUCACCGACAAACGAAUAUCUCGAUCCCAUCCAAUACACAAUUCUAUCAGAAUGAAUCAACGAUCAAAACAAUUCUUACUACAGAUAGCUGCGGCACACGGCGGAGAUCACGCCGGAGUUCCGAGUCGGCUGAGCUCUGAGCUGCUUCCUCUUCUUCUUUACAGUUCUUC